rnacentral:rRNA from 1 species
AUACGGAGGAUCCGAGCGUUAUCCGGAUUUAUUGGGUUUAAAGGGUGCGCAGGCGGCCAUUUAAGUCAGCGGUUAAAUCGUGGGGCUCAACCCCAUUCUGCCGUUGAUACUGGGUGGCUUGAUUGCGGUCGAGGUUGGCGGAAUUCGCUGUGUUGGGGUGAAAUGCAUAGAUAUGACGAAGAACACCGAUUGCGUAGGCAGCUGACCAGACCGCAAAUGACGCUCAUGCACGAAAGUGCGGGGAUCGAACAGGAUUAGAUACCCUGGUAGUCCACACAGUAAACGAUGAAUACUCGCUGUUUGCGAUAUACGGCAAGCGGCCAAGCGAAAGCAUUAAGUAUUCCACCUGGGGAGUACGCCGGCAACGGUGAAACUCAAAUGAAUUGGCGGG